rnacentral:lncRNA from 1 species
ACAAAACUUUUAUCAAAAUAAGUGCGUGCAUUUUCUAAGAAGAUGACAUUGCCAUUGCAUUUACUUUUGUUAAGAAUACUAACUACACUGGAUAAAUCUGAAAUGAACAUCCUUAACAAAAUGCCUUAAUUAACCCCUAGAAGUUUACUCCAAUGGAGGAACAUAACCAAGAAGAGACAACCACAAGUGAUAACUGUCUUUAUAAUUUUAAUAGCUUCACUUCUACUGAAAUUUAAUUUUUGUAAAUUAUAUGCUUAUUAUUUAGAAGCUUAUAACUUCUAGAAGUUUACUCCAAUGCAGGAACAUAACCAAGAAGAAAUCUAAUUUCUUUUUGUUUUUUUUGUUUUUUUUUGAGAUGGAGUCUCGCUCUGUCAUCCAGGCUAGAGUGCAGUGGUGUGAUCUCGGCUCACUGUAACCUCUGCCUCUCAGGUUCAAGUGAUUCUUCUGCCUUAGCCUCCUGAGUAGCUGGGAUUACAGGUGUGUGCCACCAUGCCUGGCUAAUUUUUGUAAUUUAGUAGAGACGGGGUUUUACCAUAUUGGUCAGGCUGGUCUGGAACUCCUGACCUUGAGAUCUGCCUGCCUCAGCCUCCCAAAGUGCUGGCAUUACAGACAUGAGCCACUGCGCCCGGCCUAAAGAAAUUUAAUUUCUAUAAAUUAUAUGCUCAUUAUCUCAUUUUAAAUUUCAAAUAAUAAGCAAAUUCCACCUUUAUGGUAAGAAUGCAGCAAAUUGUUUGUAAUAUAAAUUCCAAAGACAGGCAGAAAGUAACUAUUAGGCCUAUGGGAAAAGGACCCUGAAGAAGAAAUCCAAAUACCUGGAAUCCUGUCUCUACCCUAGCAUUAAAGAAACAGCUCUUUAUUACUACUGAGCAACUUAAUCUCCUAUUAUCUUGGAUUUGUCCUUAUUUCUCUGCAUUCAGUUUCUUCUUCUCUACCUCUAAAGUACUAUGUCUUCACCUAUGCUCUCCAUACAGCAGUGACAGAAGGGGAAUUAAAGAGUUGGGUUUCCUCCCUCUCCCUCUCCCCACGGUCUCCCUCUCCCUCUCUUUCUACGGUCUCCCUCUGAUGCCUAGCGGAAGCUGGACUGUACUGCUGCCAUCUCGGCUCACUGCAACCUCCCUGUCUGAUUCUCCUGCCUCAGCCUGCCCAGUGCCUGUGAUUGCAGGCGCGCGCUGCCACGCCUGACUGGUUUUCAUAUUUUUUUGGUGGAGACGGGGUUUCGCUGUGUUGGCCGGGCUGGUCUCCAGCUCCUAACCGCGAGUGAUCUGCCAGCCUCGGCCUCCCGAGGUGCCGGGAUUGCAGACAGAGUCUCAUUCACUCAGUGCUCAAUGGUGCCCAGGCUGGAGUGCAGUGGCGUGAUCUCGGCUAGCUACAACCUCCACCUCCCAGCCGCCUGCCUUGGCCUCCCAAAGUGCCAAGAUUGCAGCCUCUGCCCGGACGCCACCCCAUCUGGGAAGUGAGGAGUGUCUCUGCCUGGCCGCCCAUCAUCUGGGAUGUGAGGAGCCCCUCUGCCCGACUGCCCAGUCUGGGAAGUGAAGAGCACCUCUUCCCGGCCGCCAUCCCAUCUAGGAAGUGAGGAGCGUCUCUGCCCGGCCGCCCAUCGUCUGAGAUGUGGGGAGCGCCUCUGCCCCGCCGCCCCGUCUGGGAUGUGAGGAGCGCCUCUGCCGGGCCGCGACCCCAUCUGGGAGAUGAGGAGCGUCUCUGCCCGGCCGCCCCAUCUGAGAAGUGAGGAGCCCCUCUGCCUGGCAGCCGCCCUGUCUGAGAAGUGAGGAGCCCCUCUGCCCGGCAGCCGACCCGUCUGAGAAGUGAGGAGCCUCUCCGCCUGGCAGCCGCCCCGUCUGAGAAGUGAGGAGCCCCUCCGCCCGGCAGCUGCCCUGUCUGGCCAUAGACUCUCCAACUCCUGCAACUGUCUGGAAUUUCUUCUCUCUCCAAUCCAUCUCUAGUAUUGAUGACAUAGAUACUGAGUUUACUACAAAUGGAAGGUUUGAGGCAACCUUGAUGGAGCAAGUGUAUGGGUGCCAUGUUUUUCCAACAUCAUGUGCUCACUUUGUGUCUCUGACAUAUUUUGUCUGGAACGGAACUAGCAAUAUCUCCAUGGAAUACCUGUAAUGAGCAGAUUUAACCUAAGAUGAGAAAAUAUUUCCACUGAAGUUUGAAAUUUAAGUACGUGUUAGCCAGGUAAAGUAGGGGGAAAAGUAUUUCAAGCAGAGGUUAAAGUCCCUGUGUUAAGGCUGUGAGGCCCAAGGGAAGGAGCUUUCCCUUUAAAAAGGACUGAAAGAAAGCAAAUGUGGUUUAAGCAUGGUUAGGGAGGAAAGAGGCCUGAAGGGGAGGGAAUCCUGGAGUGGGAUACAGAGGUAGGCAGGCAGAGUACAGAACAUUAGGGAUUUAUGGACUCAAGAUUUAUAUUCUCUGACACCAAAUUAGGAAAAAAAGAGGUCUCUAUUUUUGGCCAAGUUGUGUGUGUGUGUGUGUGUGUGUGUGUGUGUGUG